UGCCACAGCCAUAUCACCCUGUAGCCUAAGACUGGUUGCCCACUGAAGCUAAGCAGGGUUAAGCCUGGUCAGUACAUGAAUGGGAGACCUUCUAGGAAAACUAGGUAUUAGUGAGAC
ensembl:rRNA 5S_rRNA 5S ribosomal RNA